rnacentral:rRNA from 1 species
AUUGAACGCUGGCGGUAGGCUUAACACAUGCAAGUCGUGCGAGAAAGUAUCUUCGGAUAUGAGUAGAGCGGCGGACGGGUGAGUAACGCGUAGGAAUCUACCUAGUAGAAGGGGAUAGCCCGAGGAAACUCGGAUUAAUACCGUAUACCUCCUUCGGGAGAAAGAAGGCCUCUCUUUGAAGCUUUCGCUACUAGAUGAGCCUGCGUAAGAUUAGCUUGUUGGUGAGGUAAAGGCUCACCAAGG